rnacentral:rRNA from 8 species
AUGCAAGUCGGACGGUAGCACAGAGGAGCUUGCUCCUCGGGUGACGAGUGGCGGACGGGUGAGUAAUGUCUGGGGAUCUGCCCGAUAGAGGGGGAUAACCACUGGAAACGGGGGCUAAUACCGCAUAACGUCGCAAGACCAAAGAGGGGGACCUUCGGGCCUCUCACUAUCGGAUGAACCCAGAUGGGAUUAGCUAGUAGGCGGGGUAACGGCCCACCUAGGCGACGAUCCCUAGCUGGUCUGAGAGGAUGACCAGCCACACUGGAACUGAGACACGGUCCAGACUCCUACGGGAGGCAGCAGUGGGGAAUAUUGCACAAUGGGCGCAAGCCUGAUGCACCCAUGCCGCGUGUAUGAAGAAGGCCUUCGGGUUGUAAAGUACUUUCAGCGGGGAGGAAGGCGAUGUGGUUAAUAACCGCGUCGAUUGACGUUACCCGCAAAAGAAGCACCGGCUAACUCCGUGCCAGCAGCCGCGGUAAUACAGAGGGUGCAAGCGUUAAUCAGAAUUACUGGGCGUAAAGCGCACGCAGGCGGUCUGUUAAGUCAGAUGUGAAAUCCCCGGGCUUAACCUGGGAACUGCAUUUGAAACUGGCAGGCUUGAGUCUCGUAGAGGGGGGUAGAAUUCCAGGUGUAGCGGUGAAAUGCGUAGAGAUCUGGAGGAAUACCGGUGGCGAAGGCGGCCCCCUGGACGAAGACUGACGCUCAGGUGCGAAAGCGUGGGGAGCAAACAGGAUUAGAUACCCUGGUAGUCCACGCCGUAAACGAUGUCGACUUGGAGGUUGUUCCCUUGAGGAGUGGCUUCCGGAGCUAACGCGUUAAGUCGACCGCCUGGGGAGUACGGCCGCAAGGUUAAAACUCAAAUGAAUUGACGGGGGCCCGCAUAAGCGGUGGAGCAUGUGGUUUAAUUCGAUGCAACGCGAAGAACCUUACCUACUCUUGACAUCCAGAGAAUUUAGCAGAGAUGCUUUGGUGCCUUCGGGAACCGUGAGACAGGUGCUGCAUGGCUGUCGUCAGCUCGUGUUGUGAAAUGUUGGGUUAAGUCCCGCAACGAGCGCAACCCUUAUCCUUUGUUGCCAGCGAUUCGGUCGGGAACUCAAAGGAGACUGCCGGUGAUAAACCGGAGGAAGGUGGGGAUGACGUCAAGUCAUCAUGGCCCUUACGAGUAGGGCUACACACGUGCUACAAUGGCGCAUACAAAGAGAAGCGACCUCGCGAGAGCAAGCGGACCUCAUAAAGUGCGUCGUAGUCCGGAUCGGAGUCUGCAACUCGACUCCGUGAAGUCGGAAUCGCUAGUAAUCGUGGAUCAGAAUGCCACGGUGAAUACGUUCCCGGGCCUUGUACACACCGCCCGUCACACCAUGGGAGUGGGUUGCAAAAGAAGUAGGUAGCUUAACCUUCGGGAGGGCGCUUA